UCAUGGCUCAGGAUGAACGCUGGCGGCGUGCUUAACACAUGCAAGUCGAACGGUGAAAGAGAGCUUGCUCUCUGGAUCAGUGGCGAACGGGUGAGUAACACGUGAGCAAUCUGCCCCUGACUCUGGGAUAAGCGCUGGAAACGGCGUCUAAUACCGGAUACGAGCUGCGAAGGCAUCUUCAGCAGCUGGAAAGAACUUCGGUCAGGGAUGAGCUCGCGGCCUAUCAGCUAGUUGGUGAGGUAAUGGCUCACCAAGGCGUCGACGGGUAGCCGGCCUGAGAGGGUGACCGGCCACACUGGGACUGAGACACGGCCCAGACUCCUACGGGAGGCAGCAGUGGGGAAUAUUGCACAAUGGGCGCAAGCCUGAUGCAGCAACGCCGCGUGAGGGACGACGGCCUUCGGGUUGUAAACCUCUUUUAGCAAGGAAGAAGCGAAAGUGACGGUACUUGCAGAAAAAGCGCCGGCUAACUACGUGCCAGCAGCCGCGGUAAUACGUAGGGCGCAAGCGUUAUCCGGAAUUAUUGGGCGUAAAGAGCUCGUAGGCGGUUUGUCGCGUCUGCUGUGAAAACCCGAGGCUCAACCUCGGGCCUGCAGUGGGUACGGGCAGACUAGAGUGCGGUAGGGGAGAUUGGAAUUCCUGGUGUAGCGGUGGAAUGCGCAGAUAUCAGGAGGAACACCGAUGGCGAAGGCAGAUCUCUGGGCCGUAACUGACGCUGAGGAGCGAAAGGGUGGGGAGCAAACAGGCUUAGAUACCCUGGUA
rnacentral:rRNA from 1 species